AUUGAACGCUGGCGGCAGGCCUAACACAUGCAAGUCGAGCGGGGACUUCGGUCCUAGCGGCGCACGGGUGAGUAAUGCUUGGGAAUCUGCUCAGUAGUGGGGGAUAACGUCCCGAAAGGGACGCUAAUACCGCAUACGUCCUACGGGAGAAAGAGGGGGAUCUUCGGACCUCUCGCUAUUGGAUGAGCCCAAGUCGGAUUAGCUAGUUGGUAGGGUAAUGGCCUACCAAGGCGACGAUCCGUAGCUGGUCUGAGAGGAUGAUCAGCCACACUGGAACUGAGACACGGUCCAGACUCCUACGGGAGGCAGCAGUGGGGAAUAUUGGACAAUGGGCGAAAGCCUGAUCCAGCCAUGCCGCGUGUGUGAAGAAGGCCUUCGGGUUGUAAAGCACUUUAAGCGGGGAGGAAGGUUCGCGGCCUAAUACGUCGCGGAAUUGACGUUACCCGCAGAAUAAGCACCGGCUAACUCUGUG
rnacentral:rRNA from 1 species